AUCAAGAACAAGAAGCAAAAAAAGAUGUGCGCUUUGAAAACCAGAGCGUAUUAACUCURACGACGCCUGCAACGGAGACCGGUUCAAGUGAAAUUAACAACGGAGAAAGAUCAUCUGCGAUUUACAACAUACAACCGCCGCUGUCUACUAUGCCAACGGCAUCUUUUGACUUGUCCCCUCACCAAGACGUGGCGUUUGUGAACAGAUUCAACGAGCUCUUUGACCAGAAUGUGCAGGAUAACGAAGAUUAUAUGUUCAAUACGUCCGGGGAAAUCAAUGAGAAAAAAUCCGAGGCUGUCGGAGGAGGAGGAGGCGAUGACGCCCUGUUGUUCCAGAAUAACAUUUAUUUUGACACACCACAACAGAGCACCAACAACGAUGACGACGCGGCUGCAUCGCAUGCUACUG